AUUGAACGCUGGCGGCAUGCCUUACACAUGCAAGUCGAACGGUAACAGGUCUUCGGAUGCUGACGAGUGGCGAACGGGUGAGUAAUACAUCGGAACGUGCCCGAUCGUGGGGGAUAACGAAGCGAAAGCUUUGCUAAUACCGCAUAAGAUCUACGGAUGAAAGCAGGGGACCGCAAGGCCUUGCGCGAACGGAGCGGCCGAUGGCAGAUUAGGUAGUUGGUGGGAUAAAAGCUUACCAAGCCGACGAUCUGUAGCUGGUCUGAGAGGACGACCAGCCACACUGGGAGUGAGACACGGCCCAGACUACUGCGGGAGGCAGCAGUGGGGAAUUUUGGACAAUGGGCGAAAGCCUGAUCCAGCCAUGCCGCGUGCAGGAUGAAGGCCUUCGGGUUGUAAACUGCUUUUGUACGGAACGAAAAGACUCUUUCUAAUAAAGAGGGUCCAUGACGGUACCGUAAGAAUAAGCACCGGCUAACUACGUGCCAGCCGCCGCAGUAACAC
rnacentral:rRNA from 1 species